rnacentral:rRNA from 1 species
GACGGAGGGUGCGUAGCGUUGUUCGGAAUGACUGGGCGUAAAGGGCGCGUAGGCGGCUCGUGAAGUCGGGGUGUGAAAGCCCGGGGGCUCAACCCCGGAACGGCAUCCGAUACUGGCGGGCUUGAGACCGGGAGAGGAGGGUGGAAUACCCAGUGUAGAGGUGAAAUUCGUAGAUAUUGGGGUGGAACACCGGUGGCGAAAGCGGCUCUCUGGCCCGGAUCUGACGCUGAGGCGCGAAAAGCGUGGGGGAGCAAACAGGG